GACAGAGGGGGCAAGCGUUGCUCGGAAUCACUGGGCGUAAAGCGCACGUAGGCGGAUUGCUAAGUCAGGGGUGAAAUCCUGGAGCUCAACUCCAGAACUGCCUUUGAUACUGGCGACCUUGAGUCCGGGAGAGGUGAGUGGAACUGCGAGUGUAGAGGUGAAAUUCGUAGAUAUUCGCAAGAACACCAGUGGCGAAGGCGGCUCACUGGCCCGGUACUGACGCUGAGGUGCGAAAGCGUGGGGAGCGAACAGG
rnacentral:rRNA from 1 species